CAAGAAAAAAACAAAAAGAAGCAAAGAGUGAAAGCACAUAGUUCCUCAAAGGAAAUAUGAAGCCUAAUUUUAGCACAAGUAAAUUGGUUGUAGCUCUGGCCUUAUGCAUGUUGCUUUUAGGUGGUUUCUCUGUUGAGGCAGCCGGAAGGAUUAAUGAAGUUUGUCGCUACGGUCAAUGUCUCGAAGAUUACGAUUGUACUGGACCAUGUAAAUCACAUGGUUAUUCCCGUGGAUCAUGUCAAAUUAGAAUUUUUCCUUCUUCAAAAAUAGAUCCAAAGACCAUUCAUGUCGACUAUGACAUGCCAGGAAAAUGUUGUUGUCUACACUAGAUGAGAGAUUUUUGGAACAUAUUAAGCCGCUAAUAAUGGAAUAUUAUCCAGGAAAAUGUUGUUGUUGUUGUUUUAUUUACCUUGUCGUUGGUAAUAUCGACACAACCAAAUCGAUAAAUAAAAAAGAGAUUCAAUUA